GAUGACGCUGGCGGCGUGCCUAAUACAUGCAAGUCGAACGAGUGGCGGACGGGUGAGUAAUGUCUGGGAAACUGCCUAAUGGAGGGGGAUAACUACUGGAAACGGUAGCUAAUCCCGCAUACCAUCGGAUGUGCCCAGAUGGGAUUAGCUAGUAGGUGGGGUAACGGCUCACCUAGGCGACGAUCCCUAGCUGGUCUGAGAGGUUGACCAGCCACACUGGACCUGAGACACGGUCCAGACUCCUACGGGAGGCAGCAGAGGGGAAGAUUGCAAAAUGGGCGCAAGCCUGAUGCAGCCAGGCCGCGUGUAUGAAGAAGGCCUUCGGGUUGUAAAGUACUUUCAGCGGGGAGGCGUUAACCGCAGAAGAAGCACCGGCUAACUCCGUGCCAGCAGCCGCGGUAAUAC
rnacentral:rRNA from 1 species